UACGGAGGGGGUUAGCGUUGUUCGGAAUUACUGGGCGUAAAGCGCGCGUAGGCGGACUGGAAAGUUGGGGGUGAAAUCCCGGGGCUCAACCCCGGAGCGGCCUCCAAAACUAUCAGUCUAGAGUUCGAGAGAGGUGAGUGGAAUUCCAAGUGUAGAGGUGAAAUUCGUAGAUAUUCGGAGGAACACCAGUGGCGAAGGCGGCUCACUGGCUCGAUACUGACGCUGAGGUGCGAAAGCGUGGGGAGCAAACAGG
rnacentral:rRNA from 1 species